rnacentral:lncRNA from 1 species
ACCAAACAAGUAACUCCAGAGCAAAUGGAGCGCACCAACAUCUUCCGUAGAGCUGAUAGCCUACUUAGAGGAUUCUCGACCUGUCUAUCGGGACCUGCGGGCAUGAAACAAAUUGUCCCCAGGCAAAAGGGACAUCAGUAAAAAUAAUGUACCAAGUAUGUAAGGAAUGAAAAUGAAUAAACAAUAGACAUGAGAGAAACAUAGAGUAAAUGACUUAACAUAUAUAUAUCUGAAUAGCUUUGUGAAUCAUUUAAAAUUAUAAUGUCAUGCAUAUGUGUAUAAUUGUCAUACCAUGCAUGGGUAUAUGUAUUCAUAACAUCAUCAAGCCUCUGAGGGCAUCCCAUCAUAUCAUCUCGGUCACUGUGAGAAAAUCAUCAACGUAUACCAGCUGAUAUGGUGGUGGUGCGUAUAUAACGCCGUAACCUUUUUCCUAUAUCCCAUAUACAUAUAUACACAUAUAUAGUGUCAUAUGGUCAUGGGUCAAUGUAAAUGAAUGCAAUGCAUGAGAAGUAUGUCAAUAAAAUUCAUGGGAAUGUCAUAAGACCAUUAUGCCUUUGAUUAAUAUCAUGAAAUAAACUUCAUCAAUUUACGUAUUUUCUGAGACCCAUGAACAGAUGAUAGAAUAAUAAGACACAUGGGGAAAUGAAGAAAGCAGGUACCUCUAGUUUACCUUGUUCACCAGUCCACACUGAUUUCUAUUACUCUAGGGUCUAACCUUUCCAUUUGGUAAUCACGUUAGAGUUACGAACUUAUUUUUCAAAAUGAGGAUAUGAAUUUAUGGCCUAUAUUCUUUUAUUGUCUCAAGGCAUGUCACCUCUCGUCUUUUCCGUCACUUCACUAUAGAAUCUGUACAAAUAAGAAAGGAUGUUGGGACGUGGAGACAUCAGUACAUGUUGGGACAUGUCGGGCAUGAAACGCAAUGUCCUGAGCUAAAGAGACAUUAGUACAAAUAAUGUACCGAGUAUGUAAGGAAUGAAAAUUAGUAAACAAUAGACAUGAGAGAAACAUGGAGUAAAAGACUCAACAUGUAUAUAUGGAUAGCUCUGUGAAUCAUAUAAAAUUAUAAUGUCAUGAAUAUGCGUAUAAAUGUCAUACCAUGCAUGGGUAUAUGCAUACAUAACAUCAUCAAGCCUCUGAGGGCAUCCCAUCAUAUCAUCUCGGCCACUAUGGAAAAUCAUCAAUGUAUACCAGCUGAUUAGGAAGUGGCCCCGAAACCUAGUCCAAAGAAGUUCAGAAUGCCAUAUCUCCCAAAAUAUAAUGGUAGCUCGGACCCUAAUGAACACGUUACCUCUUACACCUGUGCAGUAAAUGGCAACGACCCGAGGGACAAUGAGAUCGAGUCCAUCCUGCUGAAGAAGAUAGGAGAAACACUUUCUAAAGGGGCAAUUAUGUGGUAUCAUAACAUGUCCCCAAACUCUAUAGACUCAUUUGCUAUGCUAGCAGUGUCCUUCAUAAAAGCGCAUGUUGGGGCCAUCAAGGUGGCCACAACGAAAUCGGACGUCUUCAAAAUCAAGGAAAGAGAGAGCAAAAUGUUGCGAGAGUUCGUAUCUUGCUUCCUAAUGGAACGAAUGGAACUACCCCCUUGGGUUCAGUAUACCCAAGCAGGCUUCUGGUGAAGGAGCCAAAGCAAAACAAAGAAAGAUAUCAGCCAUACCCCGAAGAUAGAAUGAACGCCCCGAGGUGCAACCCACCUUGCAAUGAUCGAAGGAUAGACCGAGGACAGAAUCCUCGGGGACUCAUCAAUAGAUCCGGAUUUGAUAGGACCGUACGGCCAAUGGAGGCACCUCGCUUAUCAGAAUACAACUUCAACAUCGAUAUAUCGGACGUCGUGUCCGCCAUCAGUAAAAUCAAAGACACCAGGUGGCCUAGGCCUGUAAAAUUAGAUCCUUCGUAAAGGAAUCAUAACUUAGUGUGUGAAUUUCAUAACAUGCAUGGACACAUGACCGAGGAUUUCCACCAGCUACAAGAAGAGGUAGCCCGACUGCUUAACAAAGGUCACCUCCGGGAAUUCCUCAGCGACCGAGCCAAAAAUCAGUUCCGAAAAGGAGAGGCAGCUAAGAAGACUGAAAUAAAUGAGCCACAACAUGUCAUCCACAUGAUCUUGGGAGGUAUCGACGACCCACAUGAACCCGUGAUGAGAAGGACAAAAAUAUCCAUCACCACAAGAAAGCAAACCCAGGGGUAUAUACCCGAGGAUGCCCUCACAUUCAGUGAAGAGGACAUCGAGACCUAGUGUCAACCCCACAAUGAUGCACUGGUAAUCUCUUUCCUUGUAUAUACAUUUCAAAUAAAAUGUGUACUGGUAGAUCUAGGUAGCUCGGCCAACAUUAUCAGGUCGAGGGUAAUAGAGUAGCUCGGACUGAUUGCCCAAAUCGUGCCAACCACUCGAGUCCUCAACGGAUUCAACAUGGCGAGUGAAACAACGAAAAGAGAAAUCACCCUCCCAGUCAACGUGGCCAGAAUAACCCAGAAUGUCAAAUUCCAUGUCAUCGAAGGAGACAUGAGGUACAACGCCUUGUUUGGGAGGUUGUGGAUACACUACAUGAUAGCAGUACCAUCCACCCUCCACCAAAUGAUAAAAUUCCCGACAAAGAAUGGAAUUAAGACAGUCUACGGGGAACAACAUGCGGCAAGAGAAAUGUUUGCGGUGCACGAUGUUGCGCCGGCACCAAUACCUCCACCCGCAAAGGGCCAAAGUGUUUACAGUGAAAAUGAUAAUAACAAUUAAAUUUGUUGAUGAGACUCUAAAAAUGCGUGGUCCCUUUUUAUGCGGGUUUGUUAAGAAGUUGAUGCUGAGUAUGUGAGAUUUAGAGACAAAAUAAAGUUAGGGAGAGAGCUAUAAUCAAACCGCUAAGUAAGCUAUUUGGGGCCUCGAGGUUGAUUCCAGGGCUCGGGCUCAAGCUGUCGUGGGUGAUCGGGGUAUGGCUAAUUGUCACACCUCCUUUUUAUCUACACCCCGUAAAGAGGUAUAUAAGGGAGUUUUUUCCCAUUUAAGUGCCAAUAAAAAGGGAUUAUUUAUUAAAAAUCAGAGUCACCACUUGGGAUAUUUAGGGUAUCCCAAGUCAUCGGUUUAAAAUACCGAAUCGAGGAAAUUGAAUCUGUUCUACGGUCGGUGAACACAGAAAUUCGGGUAAGAAAUUCUGUUAACCCAGGAGAAGGUGUUAGGCACUCCCGAGUUCCGUGGUUAUAGCACGGUUGCUUUGAUCAUACUUGGCUUAUUAAAUUGUCUAAUUAAUCGUUUUAGAACCUAUGUGAACUUACCUUUUACCGCUUUUAAAUUAAUAAAAUUAUCUGGAAAUGGGUCAGGCAUACGUGUACCCAUUUGUUUGGCGCGUCAAAAUCAUGCCAUGCAAACGUGUCCACAAUUAAUAACGCUUUUAUUAUUAUUAAGAAAAAAAUAUCCAAAGUUGCGUGAACGCAUACUCCGAAUUAGUUUUUAAAUCAUAAUUAUAUUACGCGAACGUAUACACAAUCACGGUGAUAGAUUAAGUCGCACCAAAAAUAUUUUCUAUGAAUAUUCAAACGUCAUUUUCGUAAACUACGAUUGCCUUAAAUCACACAAAAGAAUCUUGAAACAUUAAUCCAAAGUGCGAAUAAAUCACAUAAACAAUACAAUAUAACGACCUACCAUAGAGAACUAAUUCAUCAAUUGAUAAUUAACAGAGAAAUGGAAUUGGGAAACCACGAGGAAGGAAUUAUAUGCCUUCAAAACAAAAACAAAUCCUAUCAAUUCACAUUUUAUUGUUGUCACGUGCAUAUGAAACUAAUAGUUUGUCGAUAGCCCAUUACGUGACAUCCAAUAAUGAUUUGCCCUUGAAAUAGAUUAUGAGUUCCAAUUCUGAUAACUAAUAGCAGGUAAUAGAAUUUACAGUUUCAACAUCAUACAGACACGGCUAAUCACAUUACUUUUGCACAGAAAGUACAUUAGCUUAUAAAUCACUAACCCAGACUCUUAAAAGGAAACUUCAAACAAACCACUAAAAUUCAGAAUAGUAAUACUGAAUACUACAUAUGCAAAUGUCUGCUAGGAAUGUCCUUGAAAUUCCCUUUAUACAUAUACCCCUACUCAAACCCACAAAAUUCAAGUGAUUAAGCCAUAACUCGUUUCAUGUUUCAAACCAAAACUAAUUCUAGAACAAAGACCUUAGAAAGUGUUCUCAACACUAAGAUAAUUACAAAUAUAGUUAUACUCCAUUCAACCAAAAACAGACUCGACCAAGCUAUCCCCGGAAUGAAUAAUGCGCAUCAUGCAUGAAAUUAAAAGAGACAAAAAUGAGAGUUCAAUAGCAAUCAUCAUCCUAUUUGUCCAUAUUUCAGAUUCAAGAUUCAGACUACAUUCAAAUGGUGUCCAUAGUGUUUGUGAAUACCUGGAAAGCAAAAUGACAGAAAAAGGAAGAAGGUCAAUGAUAGUAUGAUAAUGACAACAGCAGCACCGGAGCAGUAACCUCUCAGUAGUUCAAGAUCGGUUUAAAAGAACCAAAAUCAGACCAUCUUCAACCCAAAUAAGUACAUGUGAUCUCUCGGGAAUUAAAGCUCAAUAUGGGAGCUAUGGAAAACUGGGAAUCAGGACUCCCAACACAAAUUCAACUCAGAAUCAGCUUUGAAAAACCAAAUUAAGCCAAACUCAUUCCCAUAUGAAUCAAAGAUUGCCUCAGAUAUUCAACCUCAAGAAUUAUGGAAAGAAAUCCAAUGGUACAGUAGUUUAUAUGAUAUCCUCUACCUCAAGAAUUGCUUCUAUACUUUUGGGGUUUCCAGAUCUCAAACUCUCUCUUGGGUCUGCCUUGAAAGGCAAGAAAUGGUGCCUUUAUAGGCAAGUUACUAGGGGCAGCCUUACAGAUUUGUUUUUAACUUGUUUAGUCCCUUUUUUAAUCUUCCUUUAGCUUAAAAGUCCCCCACUUAUUGGCUUGUUACUCAAGUUAUAUUGUUAAACGUCUGAAAUUCACAUAGAAACCCUCACUAGAAACUUCCAAAUCAGUUACACUAAAAAUUCCUUAUGCCAAUUCCCUAGACUACCCUCACCUAGACUUCCUAAGUUGCCGCUGAAUUCCUGUUAAUAUACUAGACAGACCGAAUGGGCCAUGGGUCAAUUUGACCCAACUGUUCAGCCCCAAAUGAGCCGGAACAGACCCAAAACCCAACUUUGAAGAUCAAAAUUCUAUUCGGCCCAACUAGCAAUUAUCUAAUUAACAAGUUGUAAACCCCAAAUAACACAGGACAAUUAAAACUUUAGCCUAAAUAAUUUACUAACUAAACUUAACCAAACUAAAAGUUUUAAAACUAAUCUGAUUACAGCCUAACUAUACUAACUAAAAACAAGACUCCAAUUACUCAAGCAUGAAUAAAUAAACUCCGGAACAAAUGAAGAAUGAUUCAAGAAUAGGAUAAGAGACAGAAAACUGAAAAACAAAUGGAGAACAGAUUAAACCAAGAGAAGAAAAGAAGAAUACCUAAGAAAGGAGGACCGGGUCUUCAGAUCCUCGGAUUUUCUGGAAAAAUCUGAUGUUAAUUGUGCGUUCUUAUAUAUAACACACGAAUAAAAUCGGAUUCGACACGAAAUUUCCCUAAAACUUGACUUGGGAUUUCUGGGGUUCAUUUCUGAUCUAAGAUUCAAGGAACUAGGGCAAUAUUCGAGGGUAAUGAAGUAUGGAUUUGGAAAGAGGGAAGUGAGGAGGCUAUAGGGUGUGAUUUUGGUGGCGUUUGGAGGUGGCGCUGCCACCAAAGGCCGGGGAUUGCGGGGCGGCUAGCUAGGGUUUCGGGGGUGUUUUCUGAUAAGGGUGAUGAGCAGAAGGGAGUUC